rnacentral:rRNA from 1 species
CUAUGCUUGAAUACAUUAGCAUGGAAUAAUAGAAUAGGACUUUGGUUCUAUUUUGUUGGUUUCUAGGACCGAAGUAAUGAUUAAUAGGGAUAGUUGGGGGCAUUAGUAUUUAGUAGCUAGAGGUGAAAUUCUUGGAUUUACGAAAGACUAACUUCUGCGAAAGCAUUUGCCAAGGAUGUUUUCAUUAAUCAAGAACGAAAGUUAGGGGAUCGAAGACGAUCAGAUACCGUCGUAGUCUUAACCAUAAACUAUGCCGACUAGGGAUCAGACGAUGUUACUUUACUGACUCGUUUGGCACCUUAUGAGAAAUCAAAGUUUUUGGGUUCCGGGGGGAGUAUGGUCGCAAGGCUGAAACUUAAAGGAAUUGACGGAAGGGCACCACCAGGAGUGGAGCCUGCGGCUUAAUUUGACUCAACACGGGGAAACUCACCAGGUCCAGACAUAGUAAGGAUUGACAGAUUGAGAGCUCUUUCUUGAUUCUAUGGGUGGUGGUGCAUGGCCGUUCUUAGUUGGUGGAGUGAUUUGUCUGCUUAAUUGCGUUAACGAACGAGACCUUAACCUGCUAAAUAGUUAUGCCAACUUUUGUUCGUAGUCAACUUCUUAGAGGGACUGUCGGCGAUUAGCCGACGGAAGUUUUAGGCAAUAACAGGUCUGUUAUGCCCUUAGAUGUCCUGGGCCGCACGCGCGCUACACUGAUGAAAUCAACGAGUUUAUAACCUUGGCCGGAAGGU